rnacentral:siRNA from 1 species
AUAGAUGACUCAUUCCCAAGGAUC